rnacentral:rRNA from 1 species
GACGAACGCUGGCGGCGUGCCUAAUACAUGCAAGUUGAGCGAUGAAGAUUGGUGCUUGCACCAAUUUGAAGAGCAGCGAACGGGUGAGUAACGCGUGGGGAAUCUGCCUUUGAGCGGGGGACAACAUUUGGAAACGAAUGCUAAUACCGCAUAAUAACUUUAAACAUAAGUUUUAAGUUUGAAAGAUGCAAUUGCAUCACUCAAAGAUGAUCCCGCGUUGUAUUAGCUAGUUGGUGAGGUAAAGGCUCACCAAGGCGAUGAUACAUAGCCGACCUGAGAGGGUGGUAGGCCACAUUGGGGCUGGGACACGGCCAAAACUCCUGCGGGAGGCAGCGGUAGGGAAUCUUCGGCAAUGGACGAAAGUCUGACCGAGCAACGCCGCGUGAGUGAAGGAGGUUUUCGGAUCGUAAAACUCUGUUGGUAGAGGAGAACGUUGGUGGGAGUGGAAAGCUCAUCAAGUGACGGUAACUACCCAGAAAGGGACGGCUAACUACGUG